UGUGUAGGCGGUGCUCUAAGUCUGUUGUGAAAUCUCCCGGCUUAACUGGGAGGGUGCGGCGGAAACUGGAGUGCUCGAGGGUGGGAGAGGUAAGCGGAAUUCCUGGUGUAGCGGUGAAAUGCGUAGAUAUCAGGAGGAACACCUGUGGUGUAGACAGCUUACUGGACCACUUCUGACGCUGAGACACGAAAGCGUGGUAGCAAACA
rnacentral:rRNA from 1 species